AAAUAUUAAAAUAGAAAAUGAAUUAAAUCGUGACCCGUUCAAAUAGACAUGCAGUACUCCAAUGCUCAAGUGUAAAGAAACGACCACAGGCAGUUGACUUCGCUGAAGAAAAGUCUCUUCCAAUGGCAUUGCCGGCUUGUCAGUUUCUCCUCAACAAGAGCUUUGUCUAUUACAGUUCACCAAGUUUGAGAAAAACUAGAUCGAGUUCGGCAAUCAUUUUUUGAAGCUGAUAUACAAGAAGGAUAAAAAGAAGUAGAAGCAGCAAAGGAGCAAAGACACUUGUAUUUGAAGUUUGUCAAUACCAAUUACAAGUUGCAGCAAAGGAGCAAAUAUACUUUUAUUUGAAGUUUGUCAAUACCAAUUACAAGUUAUAACUUAAAUUGUAAAAUGAAAACUGAUUAGAAGUUCUUAACUCAUUUUAUAGCUAGAGUAUGAAUGACGAGUUAAGUAG